UGUCCCAUGGCUUAGUUGGUCACGGCGUCCGACUGUUAUGUAUUUCCCUUCUUCAUCUAAACAUCGGAAGAUCGAGAGUUCGAGUCUCUCUGGGACAG
rfam:Termitomyces sp. J132 unplaced genomic scaffold scaffold135, whole genome shotgun sequence.